rnacentral:rRNA from 1 species
AUACGGAGGGUGCAAGCGUUAUCCGGAAUCACUGGGUUUAAAGGGUGCGUAGGUGGCUUGAUAAGUCAGAGGUGAAAUCUUGCAGCUUAACUGUAAAAUUGCCUUUGAAACUGUUGAGCUUGAAUUAGGUUGAGGUUGGCGGAAUGUGACAUGUAGCGGUGAAAUGCAUAGAUAUGUCAUAGAACACCAAUUGCGAAGGCAGCUGACUAGACCUUAAUUGACGCUGAGGCACGAAAGCGUGGGGAGCGAACAGGAUUAGAAACCCUAGUAGUCC